rnacentral:misc_RNA from 1 species
ACAACCAGCAAGCCUUCCGGCCUCGAUGUCACACCCCGUAAGGGGUGUGACAUCGAGGCUUCAUCUGAAGAC